AUCUAACUGACGAGUCCCAAAUAGGACGAAACGCGCAUCCUGGAC
rnacentral:hammerhead_ribozyme from 1 species